GAUGAACGCUGGCGGCGUGCCUAAUACAUGCAAGUAGAACGCUGAAGGAGGAGCUUGCUCUUCUGGAUGAGUUGCGAACGGGUGAGUAACGCGUAGGUAACCUGCCUGGUAGCGGGGGAUAACUAUUGGAAACGAUAGCUAAUACCGCAUGACAACAGUUAUUGCAUGAUAACUGUUUAAAAGGGGCAACUGCUCCACUACCAGAUGGACCUGCGUUGUAUUAGCUAGUUGGUGAGGUAACGGCCCACCAAGGCGACGAUACAUAGCCGACCUGGGAGGGUGAUCGGCCACACUGGGACUGAGACACGGCCCAGACUCCUACGGGAGGCAGCAGUAGGGAAUCUUCGGCAAUGGACGGAAGUCUGACCGGGCAACGCCGCGGGAGUGAAGAAGGGUUUCGGAUCGGAAAGAUCUGUUGUAAGAGAAGAACGAGUGUGAGAGUGGAAAGUUCACACUGUGACGGUAUCUUACCAGAAAGAGACGGCUAACUACGUG
rnacentral:rRNA from 1 species